rnacentral:tRNA from 1 species
GCCUUCGUGGUGUAGUGGUCAACACGCUCGACGCCUAUUCCAGAGGUCCAAUGGUUCGAUUCUCGGUGAGGGCG